rnacentral:rRNA from 1 species
ACAGCAGCAGCCGCGGGAAUACGUAGGGUGCAAGCGUUAAUCGGAAUUACUGGGCGUAAAGCGUGCGCAGGCGGUUAUAUAAGACAGAUGUGAAAUCCCCGGGCUCAACCUGGGAACUGCAUUUGUGACUGUAUAGCUAGAGUACGGCAGAGGGGGAUGGAAUUCCGCGUGUAGCAGUGAAAUGCGUAGAUAUGCGGAGGAACACCGAUGGCGAAGGCAAUCCCCUGGGCCUGUACUGACGCUCAUGCACGAAAGCGUGGGGAGCAAACAGGAUUAGAUACCCGCGUAGUCCCUGUCUCUUAUAC